rnacentral:rRNA from 1 species
UAGGGAAUAUUGGACAAUGGGGGCAACCCUGAUCCAGCCAUGCCGCGUGAGUGAAGAAGGCCCUCGGGUUGUAAAGCUCUUUUGUCCGGAAAGAAAAGCAUUCGGUGAAUACCCGGAUGUUCUGACGGUACCGGAAGAAUAAGCACCGGCUAACUUCGUGCCAGCAGCCGCGGUAAUACGAAGGGUGCAAGCGUUACUCGGAAUUACUGGGCGUAAAGCGUGCGUAGGUGGUUGUUUAAGUCUGAUGUGAAAGCCCUGGGCUCAACCUGGGAAUGGCAUUGGAAACUGGGCAGCUAGAGGGCGGUAGAGNGUAGUGGAAGUCCCGGUGUAGCAGUGAAAUGCGUAGAGAUCGGGAGGAACAUCUGUGGCGAAGGCGACUGCCUGGACCAGCACUGACACUGAGGCACGAAAGCGUGGGGAGCAAACA